rnacentral:rRNA from 1 species
UUGUAGGCUGCAACUCGCCUACAUGAAGCUGGAAUUGCUAGUAAUCAUAGGUCAGCAUACUAUGGUGAAUACGUUCCCGGGCCUUGUACACACCGCCCGUCACACCAUGAGAGUUGAGAAUACCCGAAGUCCAUGUUAAAGUGGCCGAAGGUAGGCUUGAUGAUUGGGGUGAAGUCGUAACAAGGUAAC